GACAGAGGAUGCAAGCGUUAUCCGGAAUGAUUGGGCGUAAAGCGUCUGUAGGUGGCUUUUCAAGUCCGCCAUCAAAUCCCAGGGCUCAACCCUGGACAGGCGGUGGAAACUACCAAGCUAGAGUACGGUAGGGGCAGAGGGAAUUUUCGGUGGAGCGGUGAAAUGCAUUGAGAUCGGAAAGAACACCAACGGCGAAAGCACUCUACUGGGCCGACACUAACACUGAGAGACGAAAGCUAGGGGAGCAAAUGGG
rnacentral:rRNA from 1 species